rnacentral:rRNA from 1 species
CGGCGACGGGUGAGUAAUGCCUAGGAAUCUGCCUGGUAGUGGGGGACAACGUUUCGAAAGGAACGCUAAUACCGCAUACGUCCUACGGGAGAAAGCAGGGGACCUUCGGGCCUUGCGCUAUCAGAUGAGCCUAGGUCGGAUUAGCUAGUUGGUGAGGUAAUGGCUCACCAAGGCGACGAUCCGUAACUGGUCUGAGAGGAUGAUCAGUCACACUGGAACUGAGACACGGUCCAGACUCCUACGGGAGGCAGCAGCC